UACGUAGGGUGCAAGCGUUAAUCGGAAUUACUGGGCGUAAAGCGUGCGCAGGCGGCUUUGCAAGACAGAUGUGAAAUCCCCGGGCUCAACCUGGGAAUGGCAUUUGGGACUGCAAGGCUAGAGUGUGGCAGAGGAGACUGGAAUUCCCGGUGUAGCAGUGAAAUGCGUAGAUAUCGGGAGGAAUACCGAUGGCGAAGGCAGGUCUCUGGGCUGACACUGACGCUCAUGCACGAAAGCGUGGGGAGCAAACAGG
rnacentral:rRNA from 1 species